rnacentral:rRNA from 1 species
UAGGGAAUCUUCGGCAAUGGGGGCAACCCUGACCGAGCAACGCCGCGUGAGUGAAGAAGGUUUUCGGAUCGUAAAGCUCUGUUGUAAGAGAAGAACGUGUGUGAGAGUGGAAAGUUCACACAGUGACGGUAACUUACCAGAAAGGGACGGCUAACUACGUGCCAGCAGCCGCGGUAAUACGUAGGUCCCGAGCGUUGUCCGGAUUUAUUGGGCGUAAAGCGAGCGCAGGCGGUUUAAUAAGUCUGAAGUUAAAGGCAGUGGCUUAACCAUUGUUCGCUUUGGAAACUGUUAAACUUGAGUGCAGAAGGGGAGAGUGGAAUUCCAUGUGUAGCGGAGAAAUGCGUAGAUAUAUGGGGGAACACCGGUGGCGAAAGCGGCUCUCUGGUCUGUAACUGACGCUGAGGCUCGAAAGCGUGGGGAGCAAACAGG